AUUGAACGCUGGCGGCCUGCUUUACACAUGCAAGUCGAACGGCAGCACGGGCUUCGGCCUGGUGGCGAGUGGCGAACGGGUGAGUAAUAUAUCGGAACGUACCCAGAAGUGGGGGAUAACGUAGCGAAAGUUACGCUAAUACCGCAUACGAUCUAUGGAUGAAAGCAGGGGACCGCAAGGCCUUGUGCUCCUGGAGCGGCCGAUAUCUGAUUAGCUAGUUGGUGAGGUAAAGGCUCACCAAGGCGACGAUCAGUAGCUGGUCUGAGAGGACGACCAGCCACACUGGAACUGAGACACGGUCCAGACUCCUACGGGAGGCAGCAGUGGGGAAUUUUGGACAAUGGGCGCAAGCCUGAUCCAGCAAUGCCGCGUGAGUGAAGAAGGCCUUCGGGUUGUAAAGCUCUUUUGUCAGGGAAGAAACGGUAGAGGCUAAUAUCCUUUGCUAAUGACGGUACCUGAAGAAUAAGCACCGGCUAACUACGUG
rnacentral:rRNA from 1 species